rnacentral:lncRNA from 1 species
CCCAGUACAUUGGCACUGUCUGGAAGUUCCCCUUAUGACUGUUUUUGGGUGCAUAUGGAAAAGGAUGGUAUUCAAAAGGAGUGGCUACUUCAUAGAUGCCUGUAUUGUCCUUUAGAGCACUGGGGCUUGGAUGGAUCUACUUUAGGGUGUGACUUUCUUGGAUCUUCCUUUCACCACAAGCUCUAUGUAUGUCAGAUGUGAGCUAAGGGUUAUCUUAGUACAUUAGCCUGAAUGAGAUGCGGUGGAACCAAGUUCCUCAGUGGAAUAGAACUGUAAGCAGAAAUGGGUGGGUGACCUUCAGUGAAACAGUUUGCAAAGUAAUGGAUGAAGUCUGAAUGCAGAAUCACGCGCAACCUCAUUGCCCUAUGGAUCAUCACAGUAUACAGGACGAUGUAGGCUGGCUCUCAUCUUUAAUGCUGAGGGUAUGACUCUAGACGCUAUGUUGUGUUGAAUGAAACUUUUCUAAUUGAACUGAUGUGUGGCUGGGGACUUUACCCAAUGCUGAUGUAAGAAUAUUACCUUACGUAAACUAUUGAAUAAGAGUACUCUAAGUCUUUUAAGCAUGUGAUACUAUGAGGUUCUUUGUGGGUUUGUGGUCAAUAUGGCUGGCCACCUAUCAUCUAACUAGACUGGAUGAUGUACUUGGGUUGGCUUCAUGUACCCAGUGCAAUACAUUCCAAGUAACCACAAACACAAACUAAUUACCCAACCUAUCUCACCAGACAUCUAUAUAAAUGGACUGCUUGGUGUUUUAUGCUAUGGCCAUCUUCUCGCCACAAGCUGAAGUUAUCUCUACUGAAUGGCAAGUACCUGCAUUAGCUAGCUAAUCAUACUGCAGCAGCACUAAAUGUAACCCAACAAGCUAUUGGACUGAUCAACAACCAAGAAUUAGAGUAUGAAAAAUUGUACUAGGGAAUUACAUUAGACAUAUUGACUGCUGUUCAAAG